rnacentral:rRNA from 1 species
AGGCUGAAACCCGCCUCCAUGAAGUUGGAUUCGCUAGUAAUCGCGCAUCAGCCAUGGCGCGGUGAAUACGUUCCCGGGCCUUGUACACACCGCCCGUCAAGCCAUGGGAGCCGGGGUGCCUGAAGUUCGUGACCGCAAGGAGCGACCUAGGGCAAAACUGGUGACUGGGGCUAAGUCGUAACAAGGUAUC